rnacentral:rRNA from 1 species
UACGUAGGCAGCAAGUGUUGUUCGGAGUUACUGGGCGUAAAGGGUGCGUAGGCGGUUGUUUAAGUUUGGUGUGAAAUCUCCCGGCUCAACUGGGAGGGUGCGCCGAAUACUGAAUGACUAGAGUGCGGGAGAGGAGAGUGGAAUUCCUGGUGUAGCGGUGAAAUGCGUAGAUAUCAGGAGGAACACCGGUGGUGUAGACGGCUCUCUGGACGUAACUGACGCUGAGGCACGAAAGCGUGGGUAGCAAACAGG